AGCGUACACGGUGGAUGCCCUGGCAGUCAGAGGCGAUGAAGGACGUGCUAAUCUGCGAUAAGCGUCGGUGAGGUGAUAUGAACCGUUAUAACCGGCGAUUUCCGAAUGGGGAAACCCAGUGUGUUUCGACACACUAUCAUUAACUGAAUCCAUAGGUUAAUGAGGCGAACCGGGGGAACUGAAACAUCUAAGUACCCCGAGGAAAAGAAAUCAACCGAGAUUCCCCCAGUAGCGGCGAGCGAACGGGGAGGAGCCCAGAGCCUGAAUCAGUGUGUGUGUUAGUGGAAGCGUCUGGAAAGGCGUGCGAUACAGGGUGACAGCCCCGUACACAAAAAUGCACAUAUUGUGAGCUCGAUGAGUAGGGCGGGACACGUGGUAUCCUGUCUGAAUAUGGGGGGACCAUCCUCCAAGGCUAAAUACUCCUGACUGACCGAUAGUGAACCAGUACCGUGAGGGAAAGGCGAAAAGAACCCCGGCGAGGGGAGUGAAAAAGAACCUGAAACCGUGUACGUACAAGCAGUGGGAGCCUCUUAAUGGGGUGACUGCGUACCUUUUGUAUAAUGGGUCAGCGACUUAUAUUCUGUAGCAAGGUUAACCGAAUAGGGGAGCCGAAGGGAAACCGAGUCUUAACUGGGCGUUAAGUUGCAGGGUAUAGACCCGAAACCCGGUGAUCUAGCCAUGGGCAGGUUGAAGGUUGGGUAACACUAACUGGAGGACCGAACCGACUAAUGUUGAAAAAUUAGCGGAUGACUUGUGGCUGGGGGUGAAAGGCCAAUCAAACCGGGAGAUAGCUGGUUCUCCCCGAAAGCUAUUUAGGUAGCGCCUCGUGAAUUCAUCUCCGGGGGUAGAGCACUGUUUCGGCAAGGGGGUCAUCCCGACUUACCAACCCGAUGCAAACUGCGAAUACCGGAGAAUGUUAUCACGGGAGACACACGGCGGGUGCUAACGUCCGUCGUGAAGAGGGAAACAACCCAGACCGCCAGCUAAGGUCCCAAAGUCAUGGUUAAGUGGGAAACGAUGUGGGAAGGCCCAGACAGCCAGGAUGUUGGCUUAGAAGCAGCCAUCAUUUAAAGAAAGCGUAAUAGCUCACUGGUCGAGUCGGCCUGCGCGGAAGAUGUAACGGGGCUAAACCAUGCACCGAAGCUGCGGCAGCGACACUAUGUGUUGUUGGGUAGGGGAGCGUUCUGUAAGCCUGUGAAGGUGGCCUGUGAGGGUUGCUGGAGGUAUCAGAAGUGCGAAUGCUGACAUAAGUAACGAUAAAGCGGGUGAAAAGCCCGCUCGCCGGAAGACCAAGGGUUCCUGUCCAACGUUAAUCGGGGCAGGGUGAGUCGACCCCUAAGGCGAGGCCGAAAGGCGUAGUCGAUGGGAAACAGGUUAAUAUUCCUGUACUUGGUGUUACUGCGAAGGGGGGACGGAGAAGGCUAUGUUGGCCGGGCGACGGUUGUCCCGGUUUAAGCGUGUAGGCUGGUUUUCCAGGCAAAUCCGGAAAACCAAGGCUGAGGCGUGAUGACGAGGCACUACGGUGCUGAAGCGACAAAUGCCCUGCUUCCAGGAAAAGCCUCUAAGCAUCAGGUAACAUCAAAUCGUACCCCAAACCGACACAGGUGGUCAGGUAGAGAAUACCAAGGCGCUUGAGAGAACUCGGGUGAAGGAACUAGGCAAAAUGGUGCCGUAACUUCGGGAGAAGGCACGCUGAUAUGUAGGUGAAGCGACUUGCUCGUGGAGCUGAAAUCAGUCGAAGAUACCAGCUGGCUGCAACUGUUUAUUAAAAACACAGCACUGUGCAAACACGAAAGUGGACGUAUACGGUGUGACGCCUGCCCGGUGCCGGAAGGUUAAUUGAUGGGGUUAGCGGCAACGCGAAGCUCUUGAUCGAAGCCCCGGUAAACGGCGGCCGUAACUAUAACGGUCCUAAGGUAGCGAAAUUCCUUGUCGGGUAAGUUCCGACCUGCACGAAUGGCGUAAUGAUGGCCAGGCUGUCUCCACCCGAGACUCAGUGAAAUUGAACUCGCUGUGAAGAUGCAGUGUACCCGCGGCAAGACGGAAAGACCCCGUGAACCUUUACUAUAGCUUGACACUGAACAUUGAGCCUUGAUGUGUAGGAUAGGUGGGAGGCUUUGAAGUGUGGACGCCAGUCUGCAUGGAGCCGACCUUGAAAUACCACCCUUUAAUGUUUGAUGUUCUAACGUUGGCCCGUAAUCCGGGUUGCGGACAGUGUCUGGUGGGUAGUUUGACUGGGGCGGUCUCCUCCUAAAGAGUAACGGAGGAGCACGAAGGUUGGCUAAUCCUGGUCGGACAUCAGGAGGUUAGUGCAAUGGCAUAAGCCAGCUUGACUGCGAGCGUGACGGCGCGAGCAGGUGCGAAAGCAGGUCAUAGUGAUCCGGUGGUUCUGAAUGGAAGGGCCAUCGCUCAACGGAUAAAAGGUACUCCGGGGAUAACAGGCUGAUACCGCCCAAGAGUUCAUAUCGACGGCGGUGUUUGGCACCUCGAUGUCGGCUCAUCACAUCCUGGGGCUGAAGUAGGUCCCAAGGGUAUGGCUGUUCGCCAUUUAAAGUGGUACGCGAGCUGGGUUUAGAACGUCGUGAGACAGUUCGGUCCCUAUCUGCCGUGGGCGCUGGAGAACUGAGGGGGGCUGCUCCUAGUACGAGAGGACCGGAGUGGACGCAUCACUGGUGUUCGGGUUGUCAUGCCAAUGGCACUGCCCGGUAGCUAAAUGCGGAAGAGAUAAGUGCUGAAAGCAUCUAAGCACGAAACUUGCCCCGAGAUGAGUUCUCCCUGACUCCUUGA
rnacentral:rRNA from 3 species